AUGGCGAUUGCUUCUCUCAUCGCCUCCAGGUUCGCCAGGUCCGGCCACGCCCUCCCCGCCGCCGCCGCGGCCAUCUCUCAGGCCCAGCACGCCACAUCUCCGCUGCUCUCCGCCUUCGGACCAGUCACUCGCGCCUUCAGCUCAAGGCCUCUAUGGAAGGGAGCGUUCGUCGACGCGUUCCUGCAAAGAAUAAAGAACAAGAGGGAGAAUCUCAACGGCAAGAAGAUCUGGUCCCGCAGGUCUUCCAUUCUGCCGGAGUUCGUCGGUUCCACCGUUCUCAUUUACAACGGCAAGACUCACGUCCGUUGCAAGAUCACCGAGGGGAAGGUCGGCCAUAAGCUUGGGGAGUUUGCUUUUACGCGGAGGCGGAGGCCCCAUCGGGCCAUUUUGGCGAAGGGCGGUCAAGGAAAGGGGAAGAAGAAGUAA
rnacentral:rRNA from 1 species